UAAGUGUUUAAAAAGUGUCCAAAAUCUUUCGUUAGAUGAACCUGAAAUUUGAGGCCAAAAUCGGCCCUUACCCGACCUUCUCUUUUUUCAAUAAAUUACAAGUUCGCAAAUAUAUAGCAUUGAUUGUUGACAAACAAAGAGAGAUAAAAACAGACCGAUUAAUAGUCAAAUAACAAAUAGCUAUAUUUUUCCGCAAAAAAAAAACCAUAAAUCAAUGAAGGCAGUUAAGUUACAACUGCAUCCAGGUAAAUCCGAUAAUCUAUAUAUAUAACGUAAAAUAACACCUCUUAUACAUGUUAUAUAAGUAAUGACAACUGCAUCCGGAAUAAUCCGAUAAUCUAUAUAUAAUGUCAAAAAUAUCCUUUAUAUAAGUUAUGGAAUUAGCAUCCGGGAGAAUCCGAUAGUCUAUAUAUAACGUCAAAUAACACCCCUUACAUAAGUUAUGACAUCUGCAUCCGGGAGAAUCCGAUAAUCUAUAUUUAAUGUCAAAAAAGAUACAUAAACGUUAUAUGUCUUUCAUUAAAAAAAAUAAGAAAAUUAAAGAAAACAGAUUUAAAUAUUAACUGAUAUUCAGGUUUCCACCGCUACCCUCUGGGAACAGAUUCUUACCAUAAUUGUUUUAUUCCAUAAAAAGCAGUACCUCCGCACUUUAUCACGGUAGACAUUGCUGAAAGAGCAAAGACACUAUAAUACGCA
rnacentral:lncRNA from 1 species